rnacentral:rRNA from 1 species
AAGCUACGCGAAGAACCUUACCAGGUCUUGACAUCUUGCGCCAACCCUAGAGAUAGGGCGUUUCCUUCGGGAACGCAAUGACAGGUGGUGCAUGGUCGUCGUCAGCUCGUGUCGUGAGAUGUUGGGUUAAGUCCCGCAACGAGCGCAACCCUUGUUACUAGUUGCCAGCAUUAAGUUGGGCACUCUAGUGAGACUGCCGGUGACAAACCGGAGGAAGGUGGGGACGACGUCAGAUCAUCAUGCCCCUUAUGACCUGGGCUACACACGUGCUACAAUGGACGGUACAACGAGUCGCGAACUCGCGAGGGCAAGCAAAUCUCUUAAAACCGUUCUCAGUUCGGACUGCAGGCUGCAACUCGCCUGCACGAAGUCGGAAUCGCUAGUAAUCGCGGAUCAGCAUGCCGCGGUGAAUACGUUCCCGGGCCUUGUACACACCGCCCGUCACACCAUGAGA